GCCUGUAGAUCAGAAGAUGCAUCCAGUUAGUAACAAUAUGUUGAGGCACAAACUGUUGCACUGGGUGUGUGCGGCUGGGAUGCUGUUACUGGUGAUGCUGAAGUUGGGCUUUGCUGGGGAUUCCUGCAGCUGGAAAGGAAGUGGUUUGAUACGAAAUCCACAUUCCCGUGCUGUGGAACAGAUUCAUCUCCGUUGCACACAGGGUUCCUUAUUAUGGAUGUACCCAACCCGAGCCUUACGUGUUAUUCUGGAACCCAACCUAGCCAAUGGCAAGUACACCACUGCCUGCAUUAAGCCAUCUUCCUCCUUCCAUGGGGCCGACAUCUACAUUGAGGAGGGUGGCAAGAUGCACCUGCUUGUGAAUGAGGCCCAUGGCACGCAGCAUCUCCGUUGCUUUGGCAUGGAUACAACACACAGAGUAACCAUCUUUUUGAUGGCUCAUUUGGCGAUGUCUCCAAAUGAGCCGAUCUCUAUCCGAUAUGCCCACAUUGAGGUGGGCGAUAUUGGGCUGAUCCGAUCAUGGGCCCUAGGGCUCAAUGAUCGGAUUAGAAAGAAGGCAACACGGCUGCGAUCCGACGGGAUUUUUUACCCUACCCAAUCAUCAUUAUAUCGAUCGGGGACACCCAUUGGAUGGCCCCACACGGACCAAUAAGCUGCUGGCUCGGUCUGUCGGCAGCUUUUAUCGGCCCGUGUAUGGGGGCCUUUAGUGAUGUAAUAACCCCACCCUAGCGUCAUAACUCCACCUACUUCAAUGUGUCUGCCUCACGUCACCACUGCUCCACCCCCAAUGCUAUAAAGUAUAAUAUAGCAAAAUGGAAUAUAUUUAAAGUAACAUGGUGGGAUGGGGUGAGCAAAUAUGUCUGAAAGUUAAGUGGCUGCCUUCCAUCGAACAUAUUAAUGUACCUUCUUAAGGAGACCAAAAAGCACAUCUGUAUGAAUUGUUCUCUCGUGGGCCUCAUCCAACAUGAUUAUGGCAUACUGUGUCAGGUCAGGGUCUAUAAGGCAUUCUCUCAGGAGCAUACCGUCAGUCAUGUACUUUAUGACUGUCUCGGGGCUUGUACAAUCCUCAAAUCGAAUAGUGUAUCCAACCUAGACCAGAAAUAGAAAAUAAGUUUAUCAUAGUAUGAUACUGCUUUGUAAACAAGGUAUUCUUUUUACAUCUGUCCUAAAUAUCAUGAGCAUCAAUGAACAGAGUAAAAAAGGAGCAAUAACAUUUAACAAAUUUAAACUUUUAAAGUUAGCUUAAAAGGGUGUUUAGUCCACUAGUAAUAAUACAAAAGUCCAAGAUGUGUUUUUAGGCAAGCAUGUUUAAAACUAGCCUGCUUUUGCAUGAACACUUUGUUUCUCUGGGUGCUACAGGUGGUUCAACAUUAAUAGAACCUUUCAAGAUAUUGUGGGCUAUGUGGGUUUUUAAAUUACAUCCCCUAGAGAUCAUUGAAAGAAACAAUAAAAGGAGAAUGUUUGGUCAAUCCAGCUGUGGGUACUUCAGUUUCCUCCCACAGGACAAAAAGCAGGGCCUUUACUUAACUGGAAAUUAAAUUGAAGCUAAAUUUGGCUUUAAGCUUCAAUAGACCUGGGAUAAAACAUUAACCUAAACAAUUAUUUAACUGUUGUUAAGGUCCAGUACGAUGCAGAACAGGUUAAUGGACAGGGCUAGAAGUUAUAUAACAAAUCACAAAAAUUCCUGAUGUUGAUCUGUAUAGUAUUGUGAAAUACUAAUACUGGCAUGGUGUUAUGAUGAACAAGGCAGGGCCGUAUUUAUAUAUAUAUAUAUAUAGGCUCCCGAGGGCCUGUGCCUAGGGCAACACAAUUUUGGGGGUGGCCUUCGAAGUGCCUAUUCUGUUUUGUUAAACCGUUUCCAUAGAAAAUACAGUGACUGAGCUGAAGGGUAGGGGGUCCGAUUAGGACUGCGGAAGUGACAUCAUGCCCACAACGCGUGGACGUCAC